UUACUAUAAAAUAAUUGGGGGCCGGAAUGUAGGAGCCAUACACUGGGUUUGUUUGGGUUUUUAUUGGGUUUCCUCUCUUUUCUUUGCACUGUAGUGUACAUGCACGCGCAUCGUCACGUCAUCAGUUACUGUGGGUGUGACCGGGGGCGUGGUGUCUGUAUUAAUGUGUGUGUGUGUGUGUGUGUUCACCUGUGAGGAAGCUUGGGUUGAUCAUGGCUGCAGGGUGAGCAUGGGGAAGAACUUUCUGUUGACCGUUACCAUCGUCGUCAACAUCUUUCACUGAUGUCUCUGAGUUCACAGAUGCCCAACCAGAAUCUGACCAGACUUACUAAUGAGGGGAAAGAGAGAGACAUCCGACUCUCCCCUCUGGCAAGAGGCUGCGGUCCAUCAGUACCAAAACCUCUCGCCACAAAAA